rnacentral:rRNA from 1 species
CGUUUUGUGGGGUGCUCGAGUGGCGAACGGGUGAGUAACACGUGAGUAACCUGCCCUUGACUUUGGGAUAACUUCAGGAAACUGGGGCUAAUACCGGAUAGGAGCUCCUGCUGCAUGGUGGGGGUUGGAAAGUUUCGGCGGUUGGGGGUGGACUCGCGGCUUAUCAGCUUGUUGGUGGGGUAGUGGCUUACCAAGGCUUUGACGGGUAGCCGGCCUGAGAGGGUGACCGGCCACAUUGGGACUGAGAUACGGCCCAG